rnacentral:ncRNA from 1 species
CCACGCUGUCUACGCGGUGGCUCGCCGUCUGAUGGCAGGCUGUCCGUACCGACACGGGAUGGCCCAGACGAGAGGA